rnacentral:rRNA from 1 species
CCAGACUCCUACGGGAGGCAGCAGUGGGGAAUAUUGGGCAAUGGGCGCAAGCCUGACCCAGCAACGCCGCGUGAAGGAAGAAGGCUUUCGGGUUGUAAACUUCUUUUGUCAGGGACGAAGCAAGUGACGGUACCUGACGAAUAAGCCACGGCUAACUACGUGCCAGCAGCCGCGGUAAUACGUAGGUGGCAAGCGUUAUCCGGAUUUAUUGGGUGUAAAGGGCGUGUAGGCGGGAAUGCAAGUCAGAUGUGAAAACUAUGGGCUCAACCCAUAGCCUGCAUUUGAAACUGUAUUUCUUGAGUGCCGGAGAGGCAAUCGGAAUUCCGUGUGUAGCGGUGAGAUGCGUAGAUAUACGGAGGAACACCAGUGGCGAAGGCGGCCUGCUGGACAUUAACUGACGCUGAGGCGCGAAAGCGUGGGGAGCAAACAGGAUUAGAUACCCCCGUAA